UGUUGUCGUGAAUUUGAAAAGGUCGUACAAAAAAUGGAGCGUAUCGGAAUGAACUUGGAUCACGAUCAACAUGUGUGCAUAACUUUUAACGUUUGUUUGGACGAAGAAGUGUUACAUAUAAAUUUACGCAUGAUCCAUGACAGUUUGAUGAAAGGAUCACUUGUAUGUCCAGUGGCCAAUCGCUAACACAAGUGGGUUAUGGUACCCACCCAACUUCCUUAAGGCAGAAUAAGACAGAUAUAGUAAAAGUGACUACUCCAAAACCCUCCUCAAGUGGAGGAUUCGGAAAGUGAUGCCAGCGCUGUAAUUGCCCUGAAAGACCAUCAAAACAGUGGAACAGGUAGUUCACCGUCAUCAUGAAGAACCUUAAGACACACACAACCAAGAUAUCUACCAUCAACCUUGAGCCAUCCACCACCCAAUAUGAGCCUCUACCAUUCCUUCAAAGAGAGUUGGGCCAUGUGAGAAGCAAGGUUCCAAAAAAAAAGGGCUGAUGCUGCUUACUGAGUUAGGGGACACCAGCAGGCAUCAAGACCAUAGGGCAGCACAAGAAGAGGACAUCGACAAUGUACAGAUAAAAUAUUAGGCCAACUUCAUUGUCCUUGCACAGAAAGUGACGGAAAACCCUUCUGC